GCAAUAGUAGCUCAGCGCCAGAGCGCC
rnacentral:tRNA from 1 species